rnacentral:rRNA from 1 species
AGCAGUCGCCGCGGUAAAACGUAGGUGGCGAGCGUUGUCCGGAAUCAUUGGGCGUAAAGGGAGCGCAGGCGGGCAUGUAAGUCUUUCUUAAAAGUUCGGGGCUCAACCCCGUGAUGGGAGAGAAACUACAUGUCUUGAGUACAGGAGAGGAAAGCGGAAUUCCCAGUGUAGCGGUGAAAUGCGUAGAUAUUGGGAGGAACACCAGUGGCGAAGGCGGCUUUCUGGACUGCAACUGACGCUGAGGCUCGAAAGCCAGGGGAGCGAACGGGAUUAGAUACCCCCGUAGUCCCUGUCUCUUAUACC